CGAUUACAAUCGAAAAUACCCCGUCGAGAUCUUAAUGCAACUCCAGUCGUUUUAGUUGACGACGAACCUGUUGCCAGAUCUCCAGUUCCAAGGAAACACAGAGUUUUUACAGUAAUUGGCUAAACAAUCUUCAAGUUUAUCUUUGGUCAUUUCAUUGUAAACUUCAGUGAUUGAACCCGAAGAAACAAAGUCAUAAUCUGCAAGGAAAUCGUUUCGCAACAAGAACGGGUGUAAGCCCUUGGACUCUUUCGGGUAUCUUAACAUGUAACGAGUCUGAUAUGCUUUGCAUAAAGAAUAAGAAAAUGUCGAUGCUCCCGAUGUGGAAUAUGAUUGAGACACUUCGAGAGACUUGGUGGCUCAAUAGUUAUCUAUUUGAUCAACUUUUGCUAAUAAGAUUUGUUUUCAAAUUCGUCCUGUUUUUAAUAGAAUCAGCUAAUCUUGAAGUUCAUUGUUAAAAUUUACGAAUCGAUUGCUGGUAAUAACAGACAGACUCUUUUGACAUAAAAAUAGAGAAUUCUUUUUCAUUCAUAUUGUACCACCGCUCAAUUGGCAUUCAGUCCACCAACAGCCUGUGGCAAGUGCCUUAUCAUCAGCUGAAGCUCUGUAGAAUCAAAAAUUAGUAGACUAAAAUUGAAAACUGGAUCUGUAAAAAAGCUCAAACACUUAAACAUUGAUAGGUUGAGGUUUCCAACGAAUCGUUGGCUACAAUAAAAACUGAAGGGUGUUUCGUUUAAAAAAGACCAAGGUAAACAAACUAAUCAGUAACUUAACUCACCUAAAAAGAUGAUAAAGAUGAAGGUCAUGAUAUGAAAAGGUCAACAAAUAGAGAUAAAAACUUAUCUUGUAAUUGUUACGAUGUAUAACUGUUGAUUGAUCUUGAAUAAAAAAAUCUAACGAUUAUUAUUACCACUUAGUUACAAUUAUCACUAAAAUUUCUCGUUAACAGAAUCACUUGAGCUAGGAAGUAAGAUUGAGAAAUCAGAAUCAACUUUUUAAUUAGUUAACUGACUGAGAGAUUUUCAAAGGGUCAAAGAGGGCCAAGCCUCCAUUAACUUCAACUUUUAUCCCUAUCAAGGGGUUUGACAAUUAUGUCAACAAGUAACCGAUCUUUUAAAUGUGAUGAUGUUUGAUUUGAUUUGAUUACAUAAUUUAAUAUUUAACUUAUUUGCUCUUCUACAUAACCUUUUGUUUAUCAUCAACUCUAAGGAGAUAAGAAGCUCUUGACUGUCAAUCGAUAUAAACCUGAAAAUGUAAACAAGUAAAAGUACUCAAUGAAAGUUUUAUAAAUAUGCAACUUUAAUAACAAACAGUUAAAUGACUUGGAACUUUAUCAGAAAUGAAUUCGUUACCCCGACUACUUUUUGUUAUUUACUUUAUUACUUUCUGUGAUAGUUUUAGCGUUAUACUAUUCUCGCAAACUGGCCAAAAAGGUAGUUCACAAUACGUCGAUGUUAAUGGCUGUGUUAAUCUCCAUGCUGUAUUUCUAUGUAACGAACAUCCUUGGGGUUGUUAUUGUUGUAAAGGUGGUACCAGUAAUGGGCCGUGGUUUACUCGGUGUUGUGGUGAGAUGAGAGCUGAGGACAAUGUAGAGUCAAUUAAUACUCGCGAUAACUGUGUCCGAGUUUACCGUGAAUACGACUGUAAUAACAGAAUCGGACCAAGGAUAGAACCAGGAUCAGGUUGCCACAGUGAUUGGGGUGCUGAAGGUUGUGGUUUUAAAAAUGACAUUCGAUCAAUCAGUCCAUGCUGAGCUUAUGAUGAUGAUAAUAAUUCUUAAUAGAGAUACGAUGAUACCGUUCAAUCAAUUGUGAUUUAGAUACUGUUUUUAAGAAAUAUACUAAUUGCUGAUCUCAAUCACAGUUAGAUCUGUAAUAAAGGAAACGAUAUUAUUAAUAAAAGCACAAAAAAGGUAAAUAAUAAA